rnacentral:rRNA from 1 species
AAGCCUGAUGCAGCCAUGCCGCGUGUAUGAAGAAGGCCUCGGGUUGUAAAGUACUUUCAGCAGUGAGGAAGGUGGGUAUGUUAAUAGCAUAUUCAUUUGACGUUAGCUGCAGAAGAAGCACCGGCUAACUCCGUGCCAGCAGCCGCGGUAAUACGGAGGGUGCGAGCGUUAAUCGGAAUUACUGGGCGUAAAGCGCAUGCAGGUGGUUUGUUAAGUCAGAUGUGAAAGCCCGGGGCUCAACCUCGGAAUUGCAUUUGAAACUGGCAAACUAGAGUACUGUAGAGGGGGUAGAAUUUCAGGUGUAGCGGUGAAAUGCGUAGAGAUCUGAAGGAAUACCGGUGGCGAAGGCGGCCCCCCUGGACAGAUACUGACACUCAGAUGCGAAAGCGUGGGGAGCAAACAGGAUUAGAUACCCUGGUAG